rnacentral:rRNA from 1 species
CUCAAAUGAAUUGACGGGGGCCCGCACAAGCGGUGGAGCAUGUGGUUUAAUUCGAUGCAACGCGAAGAACCUUACCUACUCUUGACAUCCAGAGAACUUUCCAGAGAUGGAUUGGUGCCUUCGGGAACUCUGAGACAGGUGCUGCAUGGCUGUCGUCAGCUCGUGUUGUGAAAUGUUGGGUUAAGUCCCGCAACGAGCGCAACCCUUAUCCUUUGUUGCCAGCGGUUCGGCCGGGAACUCAAAGGAGACUGCCAGUGAUAAACUGGAGGAAGGUGGGGAUGACGUCAAGUCAUCAUGGCCCUUACGAGUAGGGCUACACACGUGCUACAAUGGCGUAUACAAAGAGAAGCGAACCUGCGAGGGCAAGCGGACCUCAUAAAGUACGUCGUAGUCCGGAUUGGAGUCUGCAACUCGACUCCAUGAAGUCGGAAUCGCUAGUAAUCGUAGAUCAGAAUGCUACGGUGAAUACGUUCCCGGGCCUUGUACACACCGCCCGUCACACCAUGGGAGUGGGUUGCA